UACGGAGGGUGCAAGCGUUAUCCGGAUUCAAUGGGUUUAAAGGGCGCGUAGGUGGGCAAGUAAGUCAGUGGUGAAAUCUCCGGGCUUAACCCGGAAACUGCCAUUGAUACUAUUUGUCUUGAAUACUGUGGAGGUCAGCGGAAUAUGUCAUGUAGCGGUGAAAUGCUUAGAUAUGACAUAGAACACCAAUUGCGAAGGCAGCUGGCUACACAAAUAUUGACACUGAGGCACGAAAGCGUGGGGAUCAAACAGG
rnacentral:rRNA from 1 species